CCUAACCCUAGCGCAGCAGCGCCUCUCUUCAUCUACCUUCUUCUCGCUGCUUUUGGUGUUAAUGCAAGUGUGGUAAAAUAGACAGAAACAACUGCACUGGUCUUGAGGAUGAUGACUUUGUCUUGGAAAUCUAUCUGAUGCAUUGCAAUCUCACAUUCAUUGCACUCCAUUAUACUUUAUGUUUGUGUUUACAAUAUUUAUUUCUUCAUUAACUUGGUAUUGAAAUUAUGGUAUGAUAUUGACAGUGUACAAGAAAAGUGUCUCAUUUGUUGAAUUUCUUUCUUGUUUUCA